rnacentral:rRNA from 1 species
GCAGUCGAACGAUGAAGCCUUUCGGGGUGGAUUAGUGGCGAACGGGUGAGUAACACGUGGGCAAUCUGCCCUUCACUCUGGGACAAGCCCUGGAAACGGGGUCUAAUACCGGAUAACACUCUGUCCCGCAUGGGACGGGGUUAAAAGCUCCGGCGGUGAAGGAUGAGCCCGCGGCCUAUCAGCUUGUUGGUGGGGUGAUGGCCUACCAAGGCGACGACGGGUAGCCGGCCUGAGAGGGCGACCGGCCACACUGGGACUGAGACACGGCCCAGACUCCUACGGGAGGCAGCAGUGGGGAAUAUUGCACAAUGGGCGAAAGCCUGAUGCAGCGACGCCGCGUGAGGGAUGACGGCCCUUCGGGUUGUAAACCUUCUUUCAGCAGGGAAGAAGCGAGAGUGACGGUACCUGCAGAAGAAGCGCCGGCUAACUACGUGCCAGCAGCCGCGGUAAUACGUAGGGCGCAAGCGUUGUCCGGAAUUAUUGGGCGUAAAGAGCUCGUAGGCGGCUUGUUGCGUCGGUUGUGAAAGCCCGGGGCUUAACCCCGGGUCUGCAGUCGAUACGGGCAGGCUAGAGUGUGGUAGGGGAGAUCGGAAUUCCUGGUGUAGCGGUGAAAUGCGCAGAUAUCAGGGAGGAACACCGGUGGCGAAGGCGGAUCUCUGGGCCAUUACUGACGCUGAGGAGCGAAAGCGUGGGGAGCGAACAGGAUUAGAUACCCUGGUAGUCCACGCCGUAAACGUUGGGAACUAGGUGUUGGCGACAUUCCACGUCGUCGGUGCCGCAGCUAACGCAUUAAGUUCCCCGCCUGGGGAGUACGGCCGCAAGGCUAAAACUCAAAGGAAUUGACGGGGGCCCGCACAAGCAGCGGAGCAUGUGGCUUAAUUCGACGCAACGCGAAGAACCUUACCAAGGCUUGACAUAUACCGGAAAGCAUCAGAGAUGGUGCCCCCCUUGUGGUCGGUAUACAGGUGGUGCAUGGCUGUCGUCAGCUCGUGUCKUGAGAUGUUGGGUUAAGUCCCGCAACGAGCGCAACCCUUGUUCUGUGUUGCCAGCAUGCCCUUCGGGGUGAUGGGGACUCACAGGAGACUGCCGGGGUCAACUCGGAGGAAGGUGGGGACGACGUCAAGUCAUCAUGCCCCUUAUGUCUUGGGCUGCACACGUGCUACAAUGGCCGGUACAAUGAGCUGCGAUGCCGCGAGGCGGAGCGAAUCUCAAAAAGCCGGUCUCAGUUCGGAUUGGGGUCUGCAACUCGACCCCAUGAAGUCGGAGUUGCUAGUAAUCGCAGAUCAGCAUUGCUGCGGUGAAUACGUUCCCGGGCCUUGUACACACCGCCCGUCACGUCACGAAAGUCGGUAACACCCGAAGCCGGUGGCCCAACCCCUUG